GAUGAAGAACGCAGCGAUAUGCGAUAAGUAAUGUGAAUUGCAGAAUUCAGUGAAUCAUCGAAUCUUUGAACGCACAUUGCGCCCCUUGGUAUUCCGAGGGGCAUGCCUGUUCGAGCGUCAUUAUAACCCCUCAAGCUCAGCUUGGUGUUGGGGCCUGCCGCACGGGCAGCCCUUAAAAUCAGUGGCGGUGCCAUCUGGCUCUAAGCGUAGUAAUUCUUCUCGCUAUAGAGUCCCGGUGGAUGCUUGCCAUUAACCCCCAAUUUUCUAUGGUUGACCUCGGAUCAGGUAGGGAUACCCGCUGAACUUAAGCAUAUCAAUAAGCGGAGGA
rnacentral:misc_RNA from 1 species